CUAGGGGAGGCUAGGGAUAACAAGCCGACAAUUAAUAAUAGGCUCUUUUAACCAAGGGAUUGGGUUAAGGGUAUACUAGAAAGUUUGCAUGGCAAUUAGAUAAAUAAGUGAAGUAAAUAAGAAGAGUAGAUAUAUGAGGGUGGAUAAGAUGAAAUUCUAAACCCCAACAACACCAUUCAACCAUAGUUUCUCAAAACCAAUUGAAUCAACUGCAUUGCAUGUUUAUUUUUGUUCUUUGCAUAUAACCACCAAAUUUAUUCUCUUCUCAAGUCUUACACGAUUUGUAUACAUGAAAGUUAAGGCCUAAGAGUCCUUUGGAAAACGAUACUCUGAUUUACCCGUUUAUAUUUCUUGAUUACGAUCUGGUACAUUGCCAG
rnacentral:lncRNA from 1 species